rnacentral:rRNA from 1 species
AACGAACGCUGGCGGCAGGCCUAACACAUGCAAGUCGAACGCUCGUAGCAAUACGGGAGUGGCGCACGGGUGAGUAACGCGUGGGCACCUGCCCGGUGGUUUGGAAUAACCGCGGGAAACUGCGGCUAAUACCGAAUACGCCCCUUGGGGGAAAGAUUUAUCGCCAUCGGAUGGGCCCGCGUAGGAUUAGCUAGUUGGUGAGGUAACGGCUCACCAAGGCGACGAUCCUUAGCUGGUCUGAGAGGAUGAUCAGCCACACUGGGACUGAGACACGGCCCAGACUCCUACGGGAGGCAGCAGUGGGGAAUAUUGGACAAUGGGGGCAACCCUGAUCCAGCCAUGCCGCGUGAGUGAUGAAGGCCUUCGGGUUGUAAAGCGCUUUUGGCGGGGACGAUGAUGACGGUACCCGCAGAAUAAGCCCCGGCUAACUUCGUGCCAGCCGCCGCAGUAA